AAAAAAAAAAGAAAAAAAGGAAAAAGAAAGAGGAGGGUGCAAAAUCAAAAGAAAUCAAAAGAAAGCAAAAUCAAAAGCAAAAUCAAAAGAAAAAAAACAAAAGAAAGAUAGCACCCUCAAAGUCCCAAGUUGACUAAUGUUGAAUUCGACGGAAAGAACGAAAAGAUCAACUGCCAUGUGUCAUGGUCAAGUUAUAUCAGCAGAGAGUGAAGAAAGCAUUCGAUAAGAAGAUCAAGCCUCGUGUGUUCUGAGGGACCUUGUGCUCAAGAAAGUCUUGUCUUUCGUGCC
rnacentral:lncRNA from 1 species